CCUACGGGAGGCAGCAGUAGGGAAUAUUGCUCAAUGGGGGAAACCCUGAAGCAGCAACGCCGCGUGCAGGAUGAAGGUUUUCUGAUUGUAAACUCCUUUUUUUAGAGAAGUUAAUGACGGUAUCUGACGAAUAAGCACCGGCUAACUCCGUGCCAGCAGCCGCGGUAAUCCGGAGGGUGCAAGCGUUACUCGGAAUCACUGGGCGUAAAGAGCGCGUAGGCGGGCUAGCAAGUCAGAUGUGAAAUCCUAUGGCUUAACCAUAGAACUGCAUUUGAAACUGUUAGUCUAGAGUAUGGGAGAGGUAGGUGGAAUGCGUGGUGUAGGGGUAAAAUCCGUAGAGAUCAAGAGGAAUACUCAUUGCGAAGGCGACCUGCUAGAACAUAACUGACGCUGAUGCGCGAAAGCGUGGGGAGCAAACAGGAUUAGAUACCCUUGUAGUC
rnacentral:rRNA from 1 species